UACGUAGGGACCGAGCGUUGUCCGGAUUCAUUGGGCGUAAAGAGCUCGUAGGCGGCCACUCAAGUCGAAUGUGAAACCUCGAGGCUUAACCUCGAGCCUGCAUUCGAUACUGGGCGGCUAGAGUCUGGUAGGGGGAUCUGGAAUUCCUGGUGUAGCGGUGGAAUGCGCAGAUAUCAGGAGGAACGACCGGUGGCGAAGGCGGAUCUCUGGGCCAUUACUGACGCUGAGGAGCGAAAGCGUGGGGAGCGAACAGG
rnacentral:rRNA from 1 species